rnacentral:rRNA from 1 species
AUGCAUCCUGACUGCGCCGUCGUGUUGCUCGACGUCGCCGACCCCGACAUGUGGUUAUGCCGAAUCAACGGAGGAAGCAGUAGGGAAUGGGUGCAGCACACGUAUGACGUCGGUGAGUACACUCUACCAGAGGGCGACGGCGACGGCGACUGCACUUCCACUCCCCCGACAAAGAGAGUCAUAGCUGGCGUCGCCGCCGCCCUGGGUGGGAAGCUGCAUUUCAUCUUCUCAGAAUCAAACCAAUACAAGAUGGGCGUCAUUCACCUCGACUUCGGAACCCCUGCCCCUACGGCCGAGCUUCACACGCUGGAGGACGUGGACGCUGCCAUCACUCUGCCGGAAGGCAUGUGCGGUGGCGUGACCAGGCUGUUGGAGUCACAGGGGGAGCUUUUCCAGGUCUGCGUUUGCUUUCGGGGUUUUGACCCCAACGACAUCGGUGCCGUCCUUGUCCUCAAGAUGGAUUUCGACCAUGGCCGCCGCUGGCGCAGGGUGCAUGACAUUGGAGACAGGGUCUUCAUGUUGGCUCACGGAGGCAAUGCGGUUUCUUGCCCGGCGAGCGCAUGCAACCUGCAAGGGAACCGUGUCUACUUCAUGAAGAACUUCCUCGAGGAUGAUGGGGAUCUGUGCAUCUACGACGUGGUGGAAGAAGUCCUUGAGAUUCUUGUGGUUCAUGAAAGGGACUUGACUCUUUCACGCACCAAACCUUAUUGGAUUGUACCGCCUACUGCCUAG